rnacentral:rRNA from 1 species
CCUACGGGCGGCAGCAGUGAGGAAUAUUGGUCAAUGGACGAGAGUCUGAACCAGCCAAGUAGCGUGAAGGAUGACUGCCCUAUGGGUUGUAAACUUCUUUUAUAUGGGAAUAAAAUGUUCCACGUGUGGGAUUUUGUAUGUACCAUAUGAAUAAGGAUCGGCUAACUCCGUGCCAGCAGCCGCGGUAAUACGGAGGAUCCGAUCGUUAUCCGGAUUUAUUGGGUUUAAAGGGAGCGUAGGUGGAUUGUUAAGUCAGUUGUGAAAGUUUGCGGCUCAACCGUAAAAUUGCAGUUGAAGCUGGCAGUCUUGAGUACAGUAGAGGUGGGCGGAAUUCGUGGUGUAGCGGUGAAAUGCUUAGAUAUCACGAAGAACUCCGAUUGCGAAGGCAGUUCACUGGACUGCAACUGACACUGAGGCUCGAAAGUGUGGGUAUCAAACAGGAUUAGAUACCCGUGUAGUC